rnacentral:tRNA from 1 species
UCCCUCAUGGCUUAGCCGGUAAGGAAUCUGCCUGCAAUGCAGGAGACCUGGGUUCGAUCCCUGGGUUGGGAA